rnacentral:rRNA from 1 species
UACGAAGGGGGCUAGCGUUGUUCGGAGUUACUGGGCGUAAAGGGCGCGUAGGCGGCGCACCAAGUCAGGCGUGAAAGCCCUGGGCUCAACCCGGGAAUUGCGCCUGAGACUGGUGUGCUUGAGUACGGGAGAGGAUAGUGGAAUUCCCAGUGUAGAGGUGAAAUUCGUAGAUAUUGGGAAGAACACCGGUGGCGAAGGCGGCUAUCUGGACCGUAACUGACGCUGAGGCGCGAAAGCGUGGGGAGCAAACAGG